CAUUUUGAUGAAGAUCACGGAUGACAAGUAAAAUGCGUGUUAGUAUCGUCAUGGUAUAAUAACUAUUAUACCAUGGUAUCGUAAUAUAAUAGUAUCGUAAUGUAUUUUUUAUUAAUUUCACGGGAUGCUGAUUUGUGUGUGUGUUUUUGUUUAGGUAAUCAAUCAAUGCUGGCUGUUCUACACUUGGUGAAUAAUGGUCAGUUGAAUAAAAUUUCUAGAUUCACUGAGAAAUCCAGUCUCACCUCUUCACCAGUCUUCUCUUUUCAGUGGUUGGGUAUAACACAAACCCAAUCCAUAGUAGCAAUUUUCAUUUCCGUGCAAGUGCCCUUCUAACUUUUGAUAUAGCAAGGUGAAGAGAAAACUGGGAUUUUUGAGUUGUUUGCUGUUGUCCUUUUUGUUGAUUUUCUUUAAAUUAUUUAACUUUUAAUCUUCUGCAAAAGAUAUGGAUUAAUCCUUGGAAGAAUUACUUGUCGCAGUUAAGUUCACAAAAUACAAAUCAGUGUAUAAUUGGCAUUGUGACAAAUGGAUCAAACAGAAGGUUAAGACUCACCACAUUGAACUCACUCACCAAUAAAAUAAAAAUAACUACCUGUCAAAAUGUUGCCAACACUAUGAGUUAUGCUUCAAGGCUUGAUUUCAUAUAGAAGAAAAGGUGCCCCUGUUUUGACCACAGCGGCACAGCCUUCUUGGAGCAAGGUGUUGCUUGGCUUGCAAGAAUAUGAAAUGUAAUUGAACCCUGGAAUUGAAUGUAAUUGAUACGAAAUGUAAAACAGAAUAUCGUGAAGUAUUCAUUCCGCAAGGUGGAAAAGUGCUAUGCGAUAAAAAGCAUCAAUUCCAACAAAUGUUAUGGGAGUCAUGUUUGCUUCUAAGGCCGAAAAUGGAAUUAUAACGAAACCAAUUAAAACAGAUAUGGCUACCUGAUAUUAGUGAUAUGUAAUGUCUAUACGGUCAAAAAGAAGUCUGAGUGCUCUUUAAAGAAAUUUUGCUGAACCAAACUUUGAAUUUUCCGGGAUGUAAAUUGUGAUUCCCCAUGGGUUUUUAAUUAAGGGUAUUUAAUUCUAGAAAACAGCUAAAUGAUGUCAUUUUUGGCCGAUUUUGACAAAAGUGGAAAGGCUAUACCCUUCCCACUUUUUCAUUUUUGGCCAAAUUUCAAAUUUGGCUUAAAAUACA
rnacentral:lncRNA from 1 species